AACGAACGCUGGCGGCAUGCCUAACACAUGCCAGUCGAACGAGACCUUCGGGUCUAGUGGCGCACGGGUGCGUAACGCGUGGGAACCUGCCCUUAGGUUCGGAAUAACUCCCCGAAAGGGGUGCUAAUACCGGAUAAUGUCUUCGGACCAAAGAUUUAUCGCCUUUGGAUGGGCCCGCGUUGGAUUAGCUAGUUGGUAGGGUAAAAGCCUACCAAGGCGACGAUCCAUAGCUGGUCUGAGAGGAUGAUCAGCCACACUGGGACUGAGACACGGCCCAGACUCCUACGGGAGGCAGCAGUGGGGAAUAUUGGACAAUGGGCGAAAGCCUGAUCCAGCAAUGCCGCGUGAGUGAUGAAGGCCUUAGGGUUGUAAAGCUCUUUUACCCGGGAUGAUAAUGACAGUACCGGGAUAAUAAGCUCCGGCUAACUCCGUG
rnacentral:rRNA from 1 species